GUGAAUCAUCGAAUUUUUGAACGCAAAUUGCACUCUCCGGGUUUCCGGGAGAGUAUGCCUGUUUGAGGGUAAGAAUAAAAAAAAUCGACAUUGUUGUUGUUUUAUGGUGAAUUUUGUCGGAGAUGGGUUAUUUUAAAUCUCGGGUUAAGAGAAUCAAAAAUUUUUUUUACGAUUCUAAGAAUGUUUAUAAGAUUUUUCUUGUACGUUAAAGGUAUAGCUCUCUACGAG
rnacentral:misc_RNA from 1 species